rnacentral:lncRNA from 1 species
CUCCCUAGUAGCUGGGACUACAGCACACGCCACCACACCUGGCUAAUUUUUGUAUUUUCAGUAGAGACGGGGUUUCACCAUGUUUGCCCGGCUGGUCUUGAACUCCUGACCUCGUGAUCACCCUGCCUCGGCUCUUCUUUUGCUGGAAUUACAGGCGUGAGCCACCGCACCCGGACAACCACUGAGAUUUAGAAGGCAGUCGAGUCCACUAUACCGCACCUCACCUGGUUUCUUCCUCUGUUGGGGCCCCUCGUGGCCACUGUUCUGUUACUUUUUGGUCCUAUUUAUUUAAAUGGAUGGUGAGCUGUUUGUCCUCCAGGCUCCAACACUUCCACCUUCAGCUUGUAUUACAACAAUACCAGCCUUUCAAGCUACUCUGGGUGACCCCAGAACUCAUCUGAACUCAGAAGCCCAAGAGUUUCAUUCCUUUCACUUUAGGGGACUCAGUGCCCUGCUCAGCAUGAAGUCGAAGCAGAAGCAUGACCUCCAUCCCUAAUCCCUCAAGAAUGAGGAGUGGAAGGUGUUGGCAGGAGGGUGGGGGUGAGGUUUGUAGAUCUGUAACUGCAUCAGACCAAAUCUGGUUCAACUUUUUUUUUUUUUUUUGACGGAGUUUCACUCUUGUCACCCAGGCUGGAGUGCAAUGGUAUGAACUCAGCUCACUGCAACCUCCACCUCCUAGGUUCAAGUGAUUCUGCUGCCUCAGCCUCCAGAUAGCUGGGAUUAUAAGGGUGCACCACCACACCUGGCUAAUAUUUAUAUUUUUAGUAGAGACGGGGUUUUACCAUUUUGGCCAGGCUGGUCUUGAAGUCCUGACCUCCACCUGCCUUGGCCUCCCAAAGUGCUGGGAUUACAGGCGUGAGUCACUGCACCCGGCUCAGUUCAACUUUUAUGUAAUGAGGUUGUCAGUUGUUUUUCAAUUGCCAUGGACCCACAGGUUGAAGGGCAUGUACCCUGUGCAUGCCCAGGUUAACCAAGCAUGCAACCACGGAGUGGAAACUAAAAGCUCGGCCUGAAGAGCUGAGACUGAUUUAAGAACUGGACACUCCAUGGCAGGAGCCAGGAUCCAAUCAGAUUGAGUUUUGCUGUCACCCCAUGGCAGGAUCCAGUCAGAUCACACCUCCCAGCAUUACUUUAUUGCAAGAUCCAAUCAAAUCACAACUCAUUACCCUAUGCUUAUAAAACCUGACAUAGCCCCCAGCUGGGUAAGGGAGAUUUGAGUAUUUCUUCCUGUGUUCUUGCUAGCUGACUUUCAAAAAAGCUUUAAAAAAAAAAGCCAGGCGUGGUGGCUCACGCCUGUAAUCCCAGCACUUUGGGAGGCUGAGGUGGGCAGAUCACUUGAGGUCAGGGGUGCAAGACCAGCCUGGCCAACAUGGUGAAACCCCAUCUCUACUAAAAAUACAAAAAUUAGCUGGGUGUGGUGACACACACCUAUAAUCCCAGCUACUUGGGAGGCUGAGGUAGGAGAAUCACUUGAACCCAGGAGGCGGAGGUUGCAGUGAGCCAAGAUCACACCACUGCACUCCAGCCUGGGCGACAGAGUGAGAAGACUCCGUCUAAAAAAAAAAGUUAAAAUUAGCACCAAACGCUUUACAAGUAAAAAAAGUUUGUAGCUGCAUAUGUUUAAGUAACUUUUUAGAUUGUAAAAAAUACACAUACAAAAUGGAAAGGCACAAAGAAGAGAGCAAAAAGUGCAUGAGAUCUCACAUCCAAGGAUAACCGCUGAGAACAUGAAAGUGCUGACUCUUCCAGCCUUUAUACUAUACACAUUUAGGCCGUUGUUUUGUUUUUAUAAAACCGUAAUCAUAUAAUACAGAUAGUUUUAUAAUCUGGUUUUUAAACACAACAAUUACAUAACAUUUAGCUGUUUCUUUUGCAUUCAGAUUCAUAAGGGUUCCAGUAACUCAUUUAUCAGAAAACCAAGAGAAAUAGUCUCAUUAAAAUAUAAGUACAUAAGGCAGGCAUGGUGGCUCACGCCUAUAAUCCCAGCACUUUGAGAGGCCGAGGUGGGCGGAUCACCUGAGGUCAGGAAUUUGAGACCAGCCUGGCCAGCCUGGACAACGUGGUGAAACCCCGUCUCUGCUAAAAAUACAAAAAUGAGCCAGGUGUGGUGGUGCGCGCCUGUAAUCCCAGCUAUUCAGAAGGCUGAGGCAGGUGAAUCGCUUAAACUCGGGAGGUGGAGGUUGCAGUGAAUCGAGAUCGUGCCACUGCACUCCAGCCAGGGCGCCAAAGUGAGACUCCAUCUCAAAAAAAGAUAAAAAUAAAAAAUAAAAAUAAAAUAUAUAUAUGUAUAUAUAUUUUUCCAGACAGAGUCUUACUCUGUCUCCCAGUCUGAAAUACAGUGGCACAAUCAUAGCUCACUGCAGCCUCAAGUUUCUGGGCUCAAGUGAAUCUCCCACUUCAGCUUCCCAAGUAGCUGGAACUACAGGUGGAUGCCACCAUGCCCAGUCAAUUUUUU